GACGAACGCUGGCGGCGUGCUUAACACAUGCAAGUCGAACGGAAAGGCCCUGCUUGCAGGGUACUCGAGUGGCGAACGGGUGAGUAACACGUGGGUGAUCUGCCCUGCACUUCGGGAUAAGCCUGGGAAACUGGGUCUAAUACCGGAUAGGAGCCAUUUUUAGUGUGAUGGUUGGAAAGUUUUUUCGGUGUAGGAUGAGCUCGCGGCCUAUCAGCUUGUUGGUGGGGUAAUGGCCUACCAAGGCGGCGACGGGUAGCCGGCCUGAGAGGGUGGACGGCCACAUUGGGACUGAGAUACGGCCCAGACUCCUACGGGAGGCAGCAGGGGGGAAUAUUGCACAAUGGGGGGAAGCCUGAUGCAGCGACGGCGCGGGGGGGAUGACGGCCUUCGGGUUGUAAACUCCUUUCGCUAGGGACGAAGCUUUUUGUGACGGUACCUAGAUAAGAAGCACCGGCUAACUACGUG
rnacentral:rRNA from 1 species